GACGAACGCUGGCGGCGUGCUUAACACAUGCAAGUCGAACGGAAACGCACUGCGUUUGUGCGGUGCUCGAGUGGCGAACGGGUGAGUAACACGUGAGUAACCUGACCUUCACUUUGGGAUAACUUAAGGAAACUGGGGCUAAUACCGAAUAGGAGAUCCCGCUGCAUGGAAGGGGGGGGAACGUCUCGGCGGGUGGGGAUGGACUCGCGGCUUAUCAGCUUGUUGGUGGGGUAGUGGUUUACCAAGGCUUGGACGGGUAGCCGGCCUGAGAGGGUGAACGGCCACAAUGGGACUACGAGACGCGCCAGUUGGCUACGGGAGGCAGCAGGGGGAAACCUUGCACAAUGGGAGGACGCCUGAUACAGAAACGCCGCGUGCGGGAUGACGGCUUGCUGGUAAAAAACCGCUGCCGCUUAUGACGAAGCUUGUCUGACGGUACUGAAUAAAGAAGCACCGGCUAACUACGUG
rnacentral:rRNA from 1 species